GUCAAAACGACUCUCGGCAACGGAUAUCUCGGCUCUCGCAUCGAUGAAGAACGUAGCGAAAUGCGAUACUUGGUGUGAAUUGCAGAAUCCCGUGAACCAUCGAGUCUUUGAACGCAAGUUGCGCCCGAAGCCAUCAGGCCGAGGGCACGCCUGCCUGGGCGUC
rnacentral:rRNA from 3 species